rnacentral:pre_miRNA from 1 species
CAUAAGUGCAUUUUUACAUUGUUUAUCGUUUGAUUGUCCAUCUUAUUUUUUUUAAAAAUAUGAUUAAUGUUUUUAUUGUUAUUAGAUAAUAAAAUAUAAAUAUUACUUUAUGUGUAACUAUUUUUUAAAUAUUAUUUAAUUUUUUAAAUAAGACGGACGAUCAAACGUUAGAAACAGAAAUUUAUAAGUACAAUUAUA